rnacentral:rRNA from 1 species
UACGUAGGGGGCUAGCGUUGUCCGGAAUCAUUGGGCGUAAAGCGCGCGUAGGCGGCCCGGUAAGUCCGCUCUGAAAGUCCCAGGGCUCAAACCCCUGGAAUGCGGGUGGAUACUGCCGGGCUAGAAUCCGGAAGAGGCGAAGUGGAAUUCCUGGUGGUAGCGGUGGAAUGCGCAGAUAUCAGGAGGAACACCAAUAACGAAGGCAGCUCG